rnacentral:rRNA from 1 species
CGGCGUGCUUAACACAUGCAAGUCGAACGAGACGAUUUAGAAGCUUGCUUUUAUUGAGUCGAGUGGCAAACGGGUGAGUAACGCGUAGACAACCUGCCGCAAAGAGUGGGGACAACAGUCCGAAAGGACUGCUAAUACCGAAUGUUGUAUCUUCUCCGCAUGGAAGAGAUAUUAAAGAUGGCCUCUACUUGUAAGCUAUCGCUUUGCGAUGGGUCUGCGUCUGAUUAGCUAGUUGGUGGGGCAACGGCCUACCAAGGCGACGAUCAGUAGCCGGUCUGAGAGGAUGAACGGCCACAUUGGAACUGAGACACGGUCCAGACUCCUACGGGAGGCAGCAGUGGGGAAUCUUCCGCAAUGGGCGAAAGCCUGACGGAGCAACGCCGCGUGAGUGAAGAAGGUCUUCGGAUCGUAAAGCUCUGUUGUCGGGGACGAAUGUUGAGACUUAGAACAUAAGUUUCAAAUGACGGUACCUGACGAGGAAGCCACGGCUAACUACGUG